ensembl:processed_transcript 5830444B04Rik RIKEN cDNA 5830444B04 gene
CUCAAGCAGACAGCCCUGAAUGAGAUUCUUGGGAUAGCUACUGAAAACUGGCAGCAGGAUUGAUGCUGACGCUUCAUAGGCUGUGGUAACCACGUGACUCACCGCCACGUGUCCACGCAGAAAAGUUACCCCUUGUUCAGCGCAUCCUCAGUGCAGCCCCAAGGCUGAAGUCGCCAGUACCCACCUCUCUGGGCAGCCCAGUGAUGUCCCUCGGCGAUGAGACUUCAGCAAAGGUCCCCCAAGAGUGGGCUGCACUGUUGGCAAACCUCCUCAGGAACGGGUCCUCCUCGGUGGUGGUCCCUCAGCAGCAACAACCUCUCAAGAAUGGUCCCUGGCGACUGCCCCUUAGCAACAGCUCCUCACAAAUGACCCCUAGAAAGUGGUCCAGUAACUAGGUCGCCUCCCAGAAACAGAUCCUCGGCGACGGUUCCUCAGCACUGGCCCCCAGAAUCAGUUCCUUAAGCCGCUAGACCAUGGCCUCUUAACGGCCCGACUGCCCCCAGCCACCGUGGGUCUGAGGCUGCGUAGUUUGGGCGCGCAGCUCCAUGGCAACGGAAGGCUGCUUUGGGGUAGCGGGCGGGGCUGAGGCUGCGGAGGGAGAGCCUGUGCGCAGGCGUAGUGCAACAGCGGGGGUAAAGUGGGGCGAGCGUCGCGGAGGGCAGAGUCGAAGCUGACUGUUGCCCAGACGAUUCUCCUGGAGACUGGGGGCAGGUGCUCGAGAACUUGUCUAAAGCCAGUUGAAACUUGGGUCAACUGCUUACUUAAAAGAGCAUUUACGCAGAAGUUAGGAUCUCCUGCGUCUCUUGGAUCUGAAUUCUGGCUCUCCCAGGGCUUUGCAGCCUGUGUUGUGCCCUCUAGGUGGUGACAUCUGACUCCUCUGUAUAACUCACAGGACUCUUUGGAUUGUUUUUGGUCGUUUAAGUUGGCUUUGUCACUAGUCCGGGCAGGAGGUGGGCUCAACAGUGGACAGGACAUGAUCCCUUUCCUCAGAGUCGCAGGGAUGACUGGCAACUCCUGUAGUUUUGUCUUGGAGAUGGAGAACCUUCAGCGUUAAGAAGUCCUCAAAAUAAUACAGAGCCUGUGGAAAUGUCAGUGGAGAUUGGUGGGGGGUACCUCUGCACUCCCUUCAGAUACUUUGCCUGUGAAAUACCACUGCAAUACUGUAUAGGUGUGUGUGUGGCUGGGGAUCGAACCCAGGUGUUCUAUAAGUUUAGAGCUUUGUGUAUGGAAGCCGGAUGUCCUAGUAAAGCAAUUUGGGAAAGAUAGCCAGUUGGUUUGUAACCUUUAGCUGAGGGAGAAUGUGAACUGGGCCUCCUACUCUGGGUUGACCCUGGUAUAUGGCUGAGCAGAGAGGGUUGUGAAGUAACCAUAUCCAAUACUAAUAUUUGUGGUAUGAAGUAUAAUCCCCACUAUAGUAAAAUAAGUGAAUAAAUUGGUCUUCUCUUUCA